rnacentral:rRNA from 1 species
AUUGAACGCUGGCGGCAGGCCUAACACAUGCAAGUCGAGCGGAUGAAGGGAGCUUGCUCCUGGAUUCAGCGGCGGACGGGUGAGUAAUGCCUAGGAAUCUGCCUGGUAGUGGGGGAUAACGUCCGGAAACGGGCGCCAAUACCGCAUACGUCCUGAGGGAGAAAGUGGGGGAUCUUCGGACCUCACGCUAUCAGAUGAGCCUAGGUCGGAUUAGCUAGUUGGUGGGGUAAAGGCCUACCAAGGCGACGAUCCGUAACUGGUCUGAGAGGAUGAUCAGUCACACUGGAACUGAGACACGGUCCAGACUCCUACGGGAGGCAGCAGUGGGGAAUAUCGGACAAUGGGCGAAAGCCUGAUCCAGCCAUGCCGCGUGUGUGAAGAAGGUCUUCGGAUUGUAAAGCACUUUAAGUUGGGAGGAAGGGCAGUAAGUUAAUACCUUGCUGUUUUGACGUUACCAACAGAAUAAGCACCGGCUAACUUCGUG